UACGUAGGUGGCAAGCGUUAUCCGGAAUUAUUGGGCGUAAAGCGCUCGCAGGCGGUUUUUUAAGUCUGAUGUGAAAGCCCACGGCUCAACCGUGGAGGGUCAUUGGAAACUGGGAGACUUGAGUGCAGAAGAGGAGAGUGGAAUUCCACGUGUAGCGGUGAAAUGCGUAGAGAUGUGGAGGAACACCAGUGGCGAAGGCGACUCUCUGGUCUGUAACUGACGCUGAAGCACGAAAGCGUGGGGAGCAAACAGG
rnacentral:rRNA from 1 species